GAUGAACGCUAGCUACAGGCUUAACACAUGCAAGUCGCAGGGUAACAUGAGGAAAGCUUGCUUUCCUUGAUGACGACUGGCGCACGGGUGAGUAACGCGUAUCCAACCUUCCCAUAACUACGGGAUAACCCGUUGAAAGACGGCCUAAUACCGUAUGAUAUCGUUUGCUGACAUCAAAUAACGAUUAAAGGUUUAGCGGUUAUGGAUGGGGAUGCGUCUGAUUAGCUUGUUGGCGGGGUAACGGCCCACCAAGGCGACGAUCAGUAGGGGUUCUGAGAGGAAGGUCCCCCAGAUUGGAACUGAGACACGGUCCAAACUCCUACGGGAGGCAGCAGUGAGGAAUAUUGGUCAAUGGGCGAGAGCCUGAACCAGCCAAGUAGCGUGCAGGACGACGGCCCUAUGGGUUGUAAACUGCUUUUAUGUGGGGAUAAAGUGCGUGACGUGUCAUGCAUUGCAGGUACCACAUGAAUAAGGACCGGCUAAUUCCGUG
rnacentral:rRNA from 1 species